GAAGGGUCGCAGCUCAGCGGUGCUAGAACAUCUGCUUUGAAAGCAGAAUGAUGAUGAUGAUGAUGAUGAUGAUGAAGAAGAAGAUGCAGAAGGCCUCAGGUUCAAUCUCUGGCAUCUUCU